UUUCCUGUGUAGCGGUGAAAUGCGUAGAUAUAGGGAGGAACACCAGUGGCGAAGGCGGCCUCCUGGACUGAAACUGACGCUCAAACGCGAAAGCGUGGGGAGCAAACAGGGUUAGAUACCCUGGUAGUCCACGCCGUAAACGAUGAGAACUAGCCGUUUGGCCCCUUGAGGGCUUAGUGGCGCAGCUAACGCGAUAAGUUCUCCGCCUGGGGAGUACGGCCGCAAGGUUAAAACUCAAAUGAAUUGACGGGGGCCCGCACAAGCGGUGGAGCAUGUUGUUUAAUUCGAGGCAACGCGAAAAACCUUACCACCACUUGACAUCCACGGAACUUUCCAGAGAUGGAUUGGUGCCUUCGGGAACCGUGUGACAGGUGCUGCAUGGCUGUCGUCAGCUCGUGUCGUGAGAUGUUGGGUUAAGUCCCGUAACGAGCGCAACCCUUAUCCUUAUUUGCCAGCGGAUCAAGCCGGGAACUCUAAGGAGACUGCCGGUGACAAACCGGAGGAAGGCGGGGACGAGGUCAAGUCAUCAUGGCCCUUAUCGUGGUGGGCUACAAACGUGCUACAAUGGGCGGUACAAAGGGCUGCAAUCCCGCGAGGGGGAGCGAAUCCCCAAAACCGCUCGUAGUCCGGAUAGGAGUCUGCAACUCGACUCCUUGAAGCCGGAAUCGCUAGUAAUCGCGAAUCAGCAUGUCGCGGUGAAUACGUUCCCGGGCCUUGUACACACCGCCC
rnacentral:rRNA from 1 species